rnacentral:rRNA from 1 species
GCCUGCAUGAAGUUGGAAUCGCUAGUAAUCGCGGAUCAGCAUGCCGCGGUGAAUACGUUCCCGGGCCUUGUACACACCGCCCGUCACACCACGAGAGUCGGGAACACCCGAAGUCCGUAGCCUAACAGCAAUGGGGGCGCGGCCGAAGGUGGGUUCGAUAAUUGGGGUGAAGUCGUAACAAGGUAGC